GAUGAACGCUGGCGGCGUGCCUAAUACAUGCAAGUCGAGCGAACAGACGAGGAGCUUGCUCCUCUGACGUUAGCGGCGGACGGGUGAGUAACACGUGGAUAACCUACCUAUAAGACUGGGAUAACUUCGGGAAACCGGAGCUAAUACCGGAUAAUAUAUUGAACCGCAUGGUUCAAUAGUGAAAGACGGUUUUGCUGUCACUUAUAGAUGGAUCCGCGCCGCAUUAGCUAGUUGGUAAGGUAACGGCUUACCAAGGCAACUGUGCGUAGCCGACCUGAGAGGGUGAUCGGCCACACGGGAACUGAGACACGGUCCAGACUCCUAAGGGAGGCAGCAGUAGGGAAUCUUACGCAAUGGGCGAAAGCCUGACGGAGCAACGCCGCGUGAGUGAUGAAGGUCUUCGGAUCGUAAAACUCUGUUAUUAGGGAAGAACAAAUGUGUAAGUAACUAUGCACGUCUUGACGGUACCUAAUCAGAAAGCCACGGCUAACUACGUG
rnacentral:rRNA from 1 species